GACGAACGCUGGCGGCGUGCCUAAUACAUGCAAGUUGAGCGAUGAAGAUUGGUGCUUGCACCAAUUUGAAGAGCAGCGAACGGGUGAGUAACGCGUGGGGAAUCUGCCUUUGAGCGGGGGACAACAUUUGGAAACGAAUGCUAAUACCGCAUAAUAACUUUAAACAUAAGUUUUAAGUUUGAAAGAUGCAAUUGCAUCACUCAAAGAUGAUCCCGCGUUGUAUUAGCUAGUUGGUGAGGUAAAGGCUCACCAAGGCGAUGAUACAUAGCCGACCUGAGAGGGUGAUCGGCCACAUUGGGACCGAGACACGGCCCAAACUCCUACGGGAGGCAGCAGUAGGGAAUCUUCGGCAAUGGACGAAAGUCUGACCGAGCAACGCCGCGUGAGUGAAGAAGGUUUUCGGAUCGUAAAACUCUGUUGGUAGAGAAGAACGUUGGUGAGAGUGGAAAGCUCAUCAAGUGACGGUAACUACCCAGAAAGGGACGGCUAACUACGUG
rnacentral:rRNA from 1 species